UAAUACGGAGGGUGCGAGCGUUAAUCGGAAUGACUGGGCGUAAAGCGUGCGUAGGUGGUAGCGUUAGUCGGCCGUGAAAGCCCUGGGCUUAACCUGGGAAUGGCGGUUGAAACGGCGCAACUUGAGUGGGUUAGAGGACUGUGGAACUCCUGGUGUAGCGGUGAAAUGCGUAGAGAUCAGGAAGAACACCGAUGGCGAAGGCAGCGGUCUGGGGCCACACUGACACUGAGGCACGAAAGCGUGGGGAGCAAACAGG
rnacentral:rRNA from 1 species